UCCUUGUGUAGUUCAAUGGAUUAAGAACAAAGAGCUUCUACCUCUUAAGUCGCAGGUUCAAAUCCUGCCACAAGGGU
rnacentral:tRNA from 1 species